CCGGAAACGUUGUUUGGCUGAUCUUUUGGUCUACGCAAACAGAAAGCAAGUCUUUAACAACAAAUAACAGAAAUUAUCAUCAAAUUUAUAAUCAAUAGUGUAUGCUGAUGAAAAUAAUACUAAAAAGAAAACACCAUCAUUAAAGAAGAAAGGAAGGAAGUGAAAAGAUUUAACAACAGACGACGAGGAAGCACAAGGACCAUCUAUAAAAUGUAAUUUAAAUGAUCACAAGAAAACAAUAAGAAGGACAAGAAGAAAAUGCAGCCAAUUGAAAUUUCUUGGAAGAAGAAUAUCUCAUGAAUGGAUAGAGGAAGAUAAUAACAGCAAGUGGUAUUCAGGAACAGUCACAGGAGUUUUGACAGAAACCGAUGGAGCUGAUGGUGCAGAAUAUGAGGUUUUAUAUGACGGAGAUGAUGAACCGCAUAUAAUUGAUCAUCUUCUUGAAGAUUAUCGAAGUUGUUCCCUUAAAUUUAUUGAUCUUUAAGAAAAAAUUCUUAAAGAUAUUAUUUGUUGUCCCGGACCAAGUUUAUAGAUAUUUGAAAUUGACCAAUUUCCUGUAUAUAUGUGAUUUUUAUUACUCUUUGAAACCAGACCAUUUUUUUUAGAGAGACAGACUUUGAUGGUAAAUUUUCAACAUUUAGACAGUAUUUUGAUUGGAAUAUCAUGUGUAAUUUCAAAGAGUGAUACAUGAGGAUUAAUUUGAUGUGCAAUAUGUCUAUGUUUUCAAGUGCAAUAUAUUUUUAAUAUAUUUUUUUUUAUAAUUAAAAAAAAUGGUUAUGAUGAACCU